rnacentral:rRNA from 1 species
AAGCGAGCGGCGGAUGGGUGAGUAACACGUGGGGAACCUGCCCCUAAGUCUGGGAUACCAUUUGGAAACAGGUGCUAAUACCGGAUAAUAAAGCAGAUCGCAUGAUCAGCUUUUGAAAGGCGGCGUAAGCUGUCGCUAAGGGAUGGCCCCGCGGUGCAUUAGCUAGUUGGUAAGGUAACGGCUUACCAAGGCGACGAUGCAUAGCCGAGUUGAGAGACUGAUCGGCCACAUUGGGACUGAGACACGGCCCAAACUCCUACGGGAGGCAGCAGUAGGGAAUCUUCCACAAUGGACGCAAGUCUGAUGGAGCAACGCCGCGUGAGUGAAGAAGGUUUUCGGAUCGUAAAGCUCUGUUGUUGGUGAAGAAGGAUAGAGGUAGUAACUGGCCUUUAUUUGACGGUAAUCAACCAGAAAGUCACGGCUAACUACGUGCCAGCAGCCGCGGUAAUACGUAGGUGGCAAGCGUUGUCCGGAUUUAUUGGGCGUAAAGCGAGCGCAGGCGGAAAAAUAAGUCUAAUGUGAAAGCCCUCGGCUUAACCGAGGAACUGCAUCGGAAACUGUUUUUCUUGAGUGCAGAAGAGGAGAGUGGAACUCCAUGUGUAGCGGUGGAAUGCGUAGAUAUAUGGAAGAACACCAGUGGCGAAGGCGGCUCUCUGGUCUGCAACUGACGCUGAGGCUCGAAAGCAUGGGUAGCGAACAGGAUUAGAUACCCUGGUAGUCCAUGCCGUAAACGAUGAGUGCUAAGUGUUGGGAGGUUUCCGCCUCUCAGUGCUGCAGCUAACGCAUUAAGCACUCCG